UACGAAGGGGACUAGCGUUGUUCGGAAUCACUGGGCGUAAAGCGCACGUAGGCGGAUGUGCCAGUCAGGGGUGAAAUCCCGGAGCUCAACUUCGGAACUGCCUCUGAUACAGCACGUCUUGAGUCCGGAAGAGGUGGGUGGAAUUCCUAGUGUAGAGGUGAAAUUCGUAGAUAUUAGGAAGAACACCGGUGGCGAAGGCGGCCCACUGGUCCGGUACUGACGCUGAGGUGCGAAAGCGUGGGGAGCAAACAGG
rnacentral:rRNA from 1 species